GACCUUGUGGCACAAUGGGAGCAUGUCUGACUCCAGAUCAGAAGGCUGUGUGUUCAAAUCACUUCAGGGUCA
rnacentral:tRNA from 1 species